rnacentral:rRNA from 1 species
UGAGUGCUUGCACUCUUUGGACGUCGACCGGCGCACGGGUGAGUAACGCGUAUCCAACCUUCCCAUUACUGUGGGAUAACCUGCCGAAAGGCAGACUAAUACCGCAUAGUCUUCGAUGACGGCAUCAGAUUUGAAGUAAAGAUUUAUCGGUAGUGGAUGGGGAUGCGUCUGAUUAGCUUGUUGGCGGGGUAACGGCCCACCAAGGCAACGAUCAGUAGGGGUUCUGAGAGGAAGGUCCCCCACAUUGGAACUGAGACACGGUCCAAACUCCUACGGGAGGCAGCAGUGAGGAAUAUUGGUCAAUGGACGGAAGUCUGAACCAGCCAAGUAGCGUGCAGGAUGACGGCCCUAUGGGUUGUAAACUGCUUUUGUAUGGGGAUAAAGUUAGGGACGUGUCCCUAUUUGCAGGUACCAUACGAAUAAGGACCGGCUAAUUCCGUGCCAGCAGCCGCGGUAAUACGGAAGGUCCAGGCGUUAUCCGGAUUUAUUGGGUUUAAAGGGAGCGUAGGCUGGAGAUUAAGUGUGUUGUGAAAUGUAGACGCUCAACGUCUGAAUUGCAGCGCAUACUGGUUUCCUUGAGUACGCACAACGUUGGCGGAAUUCGUCGUGUAGCGGUGAAAUGCUUAGAUAUGACGAAGAACUCCGAUUGCGAAGGCAGCUGACGGGAGCGCAACUGACGCUUAAGCUCGAAGGUGCGGGUAUCAAACAGGAUUAGAUACCCUGGUAGUCCGCACAGUAAACGAUGGAUGCCCGCUGUUGGUACCUGGUAUCAGCGGCUAAGCGAAAGCAUUAA